rnacentral:tRNA from 1 species
GGAGCUGUGGCUCAAGUGGUAGAGCACCAGCCUUGAGCAAAAAGCAAGCUGAACAAAAGCAUAAGGCCUUGAGUUCAAGCCCCAGGACAGCUCCA